GUAUUACAUAAAAGAGAAGGUUAUCACUCCCUUCACUGGGGUUGGAAAAGAGGUUAGUAACCUUUAUCACACAUACCAUGGUCAAGGGUUGCCACUGACUCUGUGGCAUCUAACCAAGUUUUCUU